rnacentral:lncRNA from 1 species
GCAGAACCCUGGACAGCCUGAGUUGGGGAUAUCCGAGGGGCUGCUGGCCCAGGCCCCAUGCCUGAGACACGGUCUCACUGUGUUGCCUAAGCUGGUCUGCAACUCCUGGCCUCAAGCGAUCCUCCUAAAGAGCCUCCCGAAGUGCUGGGAUUACAGGUGUGAGCCAUGAUGCCUGGCCUCACUUCACUCUUGAUUAUCUGGGGGAAGGCACUGGGGAGCAACUGCCCAAGGGUACAUGGUCUCCGGUUGGCAAUGAAAAUGUUUUAGAACUAGAUAGAGCUGAUGAACAUUGUGAAUUCACUGUGAAUACUCC